UACGUAGGGGGCAAGCGUUGUCCGGAUUUAUUGGGCGUAAAGAGCGUGUAGGCGGUUUGGUAGGUCCGCUGUGAAAACUCGAGGCUCAACCUCGAGACGCCGGUGGAAACCAUCAGACUAGAGUCCGGAAGAGGAGAGUGGAAUUCCUGGUGUAGCGGUGAAAUGCGCAGAUAUCAGGAAGAACACCCGUGGCUAAGGCGGCUCUCUAGUACGGUACUGACGCUGAGGAGCGAAAGCGUGGGGAGCGAACAGG
rnacentral:rRNA from 1 species